rnacentral:rRNA from 1 species
UGAGGAAUCUUGCGCAAUGGGGGAAACCCUGACGCAGCAACGCCGCGUGAGUGAGGAAGGUCUUCGGAUCGUAAAGCUCUGUCAGAUGGGAAGAAGUGCAUGGGGGUAAAUAGCUCCCCUGCUUGACGGUACCAUCAGAGGAAGCACCGGCUAACUACGUGCCAGCAGCCGCGGUAAUACGUAGGGUGCGAGCGUUGUUCGGAGUUAUUGGGCGUAAAGGGCGUGUAGGCGGCUUGAGAAGUCUGGUUUGAAAUGCGCUGGCUCAACUGGUGCGCUGGGUCAGAAACUGGCAGGCUUGAGUUCAUGGGGAGGAGCUGGAAUUCCCAGUGUAGAGGUGAAAUUCGUAGAUAUUGGGAGGAACACCGGUGGCGAAGGCGGCUCACUGGACCGCAACUGACGCUGAGGCGCGAAAGCUCGGGGAGCAAACGGGAUUAGAUACCCCGGUAGUCCGAGCCGUAAACGAUGGGCACUAGGUGUAGGAGGUAUCGACCCCUCCUGUGCCGCAGCUAACGCAUUAAGUGCCCCGCCUGGGGAGUACGGUCGCAAGACUA